rnacentral:rRNA from 1 species
AUGGCUGUUUCAUCUCUGCAGGUUUCGGUUCAUGGCUUGUUGCCGGAUCCGGGGCACAUGGAGGUUUGGUGGUAUAGGAUGGGACCGGAGGAAACUUUGGUCGGCUUGUUCGGCCUGGCAUCAGCGACGUCACUCGGCACCGUUACCCUCCGUGGAGGCGAAGCCGAGCGUCCUGCGCGUCGUAUCCUCCGUGGAGGAGCCGCGGACACCUGCCUUGUUGGUGUGGCUGGGGCGCGUGUCAAGACGGUGCUGCAGAUUGCAAUGGCGCAUCCUGAGGAGUUCCACCAGCUGCUGAUCCGCGGGACAGCGUCGCUCAUCGUGGAGGACCUGCACGAUUCUGUCCUCUCCCGGUACUCGCUUACAGUACCAACGUCCAAUUGCACAUCUUCCAUCGACUUAGACCAUACAUGGAGCUCAAGUCUGCGGGCUGGGGCACAUGGAGGAUGGAGCUCGGUCUCCGGCGGCGAGAUCUUGCCUUACCUCCCGGACACCAUCAGUGCCCUCAAGGACAUGGCGGAUGCCCUUAAAAUGUGGCAAAGUUAG